GUGGGGAAUAUUGGACAAUGGGCGAAAGCCUGAUCCAGCCAUGCCGCGUGUGUGAAGAAGGUCUUCGGAUUGUAAAGCACUUUAAGUUGGGAGGAAGGGCAGUAAGUUAAUACCUUGCUGUUUUGACGUUACCAACAGAAUAAGCACCGGCUAACUUCGUGCCAGCAGCCGCGGUAAUACGAAGGGUGCAAGCGUUAAUCGGAAUUACUGGGCGUAAAGCGCGCGUAGGUGGUUUUGUAAGUUGGAGGUGAAAUCCCCGGGCUCAACCUGGGAACUGCCUCCAAAACUGCAUGACUAGAGUACGGUAGAGGGUAGCGGAAUUUCCUGUGUAGCGGUGAAAUGCGUAGAUAUAGGAAGGAACACCAGUGGCGAAGGCGACUACCUGGACUGAUACUGACACUGAGGUGCGAAAGCGUGGGGAGCAAACAGGAUUAGAUACCCCGGUAGUCC
rnacentral:rRNA from 1 species